rnacentral:rRNA from 1 species
UACGGGGGGGGCAAGCGUUGUUCGGAAUUACUGGGCGUAAAGGGCGCGUAGGCGGCCCGCUAAGUCGGACGUGAAAUCCCCAGGCUUAACCUGGGAACUGCGUCCGAUACUGGUGGGCUUGAAUCCGGGAGAGGGAUGUGGAAUUCCAGGUGUAGCGGUGAAAUGCGUAGAUAUCGGAAGGAACACCAGUGGCGAAAGCGGCUUCCUGGUCCAGCACAGACGUUCAGGCACGAAAGCGUGGGGAGCAAACAGG